GACGAACGCUGGCGGCGUGCUUAACACAUGCAAGUCGAACGGAAAGGCCUUUUCGGAGGUACUCGAGUGGCGAACGGGUGAGUAACACGUGGGUGAUCUGCCCUGCACUCUGGGAUAAGCCUGGGAAACUGGGUCUAAUACCGGAUAGGACCGCACUUUAGUGUGUGUGGUGGAAAGUUUUUUCGGUGUAGGAUGAGCCCGCGGCCUAUCAGCUUGUUGGUGGGGUAAUGGCCUACCAAGGCGGCGACGGGUAGCCGGACUGAGAGGUUGGUCGGCCACAUUGGGACUGAGAUACGGCCCAGACUCCUACGGGAGGCAGCAGUGGGGAAUAUUGCACAAUGGGCGCAAGCCUGAUGCAGCGACGCCGCGUGGGGGAUGACGGCCUUCGGGUUGUAAACUCCUUUCGCCAGGGACGAAGCAUUUUGUGACGGUACCUGGAGAAGAAGCACCGGCUAACUACGUG
rnacentral:rRNA from 1 species